rnacentral:rRNA from 1 species
CCUACGGGAGGCUGCAGUGGGGAAUAUUGCACAAUGGGGGAAACCCUGAUGCAGCGACGCCGCGUGAGUGAAGAAGGAUUUCGGUAUGUAAAGCUCUAUCAGCAGGGAAGAAAAUGACGGUACCUGAGUAAGAAGCCCCGGCUAACGACGUGCCAGCAGCCGCGGUAAUACGUAGGGGGCAAGCGUUAUCCGGAUUUACUGGGUGGAAAGGGAGCGUAGACGGCAGCACAAGUCUGGAGUGAAAUGCCGGGGCUUAACCCCGGAACUGCUUUUGAAACUGUGCAGCUAGAGUGCAGGAGAGGUAAGUGGCAUUCCUCGUGUAGCGGUGAACUGCGUAGAUAUUAGGAGGAACACCAGUGGCGACGGCGGCUUACUGGACUGUAACUGCCGUUGAGGCUCGAACGCGUGGGGAGCAAACAGGAUUAGAUACCCGGGUAGUC